GCCCGGGUGGAGGAAUUGGCAGACUCGCAACACUUAAAAUGUUGUGACCGUAAGGUCGUGUGGGUUCGAGUCCCACCCCGGGCA
rnacentral:tRNA from 1 species